CACCAUCACAGUGCUACGCAGAAUCCUCACCAGACGCAGCUGCUGAGAGUCGCCGAACUGAGGAGGUGAACGACAAAAUAAAGGAGGAGGAGACGAAGAGAAAAGAGGAGGAAGGAGAAAAAUUAGGACAAAAGGGUGUUCAAAAGCAGAGAGGACGGCCCUCCAUUGGUGGGGCAAUCAGGAAGCAGAUUUCACACAUCUGAUCACAGCAGCCACAGUCACUUUACCUGGUUUCCGAGGAAGAACUACAAUAAAUCCAGAAGACACGGAGCACGGGAACACAAGGAGAAAGAAACAGAGCAAGAGUGAAACAACAUAUACUGAUAACUGAGGUCUGUAAGAAUUAGUGGUGUAAGCAAAAAAAAGACACGGUGGACACGGAUGGCUGUGGAUGUUAUGGCAGCGAUGAUGGUAAGAUGGAGGUGAAGACAGAGAAGAAAAGUGAAGCCAGACACAAACAUGAGCCAGAAGACAAACACAAGACAGACAAAAACAAACUGGUGUACUAUUAGUAUCCCCAGUGUCCUGCAGUCAGACACUAGAUAUCAUUACCCAGUGAGUAAUGAUGGCGUGGACACAUACUGUAGCAGUGGUAGUGAUGCGUGAUCCAGUAAGUGCUGCUGAAAGCUGUCAGAACUGUGUUUAUGACCGUUGUAAAAUACUGCAUAUUUACACACAGACUGCUGGGUUAGGAAUGUUUAUAACCGCUGCAACUCCUGAAGGUUUUAAACAACUUUAAUAAUCCUGCAAAGUGACGAAUUAAAACCUACUUCAGUAGUAUCUUAUGAUGAUUUGUAACAUUUUGUUAGUAUUUUUGUAGGCUUCAUUUCUGCCAUGUUGUAUCUUAAAUUCAGUCUCUAUAUUAUCAAGUCAUCAUCAUCAGCAGUUGUUAUUUGACAGAUUUUAUAACAAGAGACACUGUCAGGUCGUAGAUAUUUUUGCAAAAAUAAUGACAUUUUACUCUCUAACUUCAAGACCAUUAAUUAAUUUCAGUCUUUGUCAUUAUUUAUCCUUUCUGGUGACGAAAACGUGAACAAAUAACUGAAUGUGAGCAUCAUUCCAGAGUCAUUCAUUACCUGAGUAUGUUGAUAUUAUCAGUUUAGUUUGAAUUAAAGUACUUUAAACUCAUUAAGUCUUCCUCUUUGACAGCCAGCAGCACAGUGUGCCUCUAUGCAGUCACAUUUACAUGGUUAUAUUAAUGUUUUUGGUGAUGAAAAAGAAGGCUCAGCUGACGAUCCUGGAGGCCUGUGAGAUGUUACAUCAAUGCUUCCAUGACAUGUGAUGACAUGUUAUGAUACAGACAGUUAACACACUUAUAAAUACAUCAUGAGGGUCAUGAUGUGAGAUGGAAGUGAAGUUAAUUGGUGCCUGCUGGACAAGUGAAGACACAGCCAGUUAAUAAUAAACCGUCCAUUAAUGAAAACUGGGUCAAACAGUAUUUGCAAAGUAAAGGAAAGUUUGUAUUUGGUUUAUGUUGCUUCACACUGACUUACUAAAAGUAGAGAACAAAAUCUAUGGACAUUAUUGAUCAGGAAUUAAAUUUUAGCCACAAAAUAGUCAAACUCUUGACUUUGGUUUGAAAUGUAGUGUUUAAAACAUAGGUUUAGGUGAUGUACUGUUGACUUAAGUGUCAAUCACAGCAAACUACACUAAAUUACUAUUGUAUGUGAUGACUCUUGGUGUAAGAAAUAGGUAACAAUCAUUUGCAAAUCCUCUUUGACCCAGUUCUUCUGACAAGUAGACAUCCACAAUAUGCAAUCAACAUUAACUUUCUUUUUCUUAACAAUAUCUUAAAUACACAUUACAGUGUUUUCUACAAAUAAUGUCUUUGUUAAACUCAACAAAAGACGGAGCUGA